rnacentral:rRNA from 1 species
AUUGAACGCUGGCGGCAGGCCUAACACAUGCAAGUCGAGCGGGGUUUUCGGACCUAGCGGCGGACGGGUGAGUAAUGCGUAGGAAGCUGCCCGAUAGAGGGGGAUACCAGUUGGAAACGACUGUUAAUACCGCAUAAUGUCUACGGACCAAAGUGUGGGACCUUCGGGCCACAUGCUAUCGGAUGCGCCUACGUGGGAUUAGCUAGUUGGUGAGGUAAUGGCUCACCAAGGCGACGAUCUCUAGCUGGUUUGAGAGGAUGAUCAGCCACACUGGAACUGAGACACGGUCCAGACUCCUACGGGCGGCAGCAGUGGGGGAUAUUGGACAAUGGGCGCAAGCCUGAUCCAGCCAUGCCGCGUGUGUGAAGAAGGCCUUCGGGUUGUAAAGCACUUUCAGCGAGGAGGAAGGUGUGUGUGUUAAUAGUACACACCUUUGACGUUACUCGCAGAAGAAGCACCGGCUAACUCUGUGCCAGCCGCCGCGGUAAGAC